UCAUACCACCCUGAAUGAGCCCAAUCUCAUCUGAUCUGAAAAGCUAAGCAGGUUCAGGCUUGGUUAGUACUUUGGUGGAAGAGAGAAAGCGAGAAA
rnacentral:rRNA from 1 species